GAGCGGGUUCCGGUUGUCUGGAGCCCAGCGGCGGGUGUGAGAGUCCGUAAGGAGCAGCUUCCAGGAUCCUGAGAUCCGGAGCAGCCGGGGUCGGAGCGGCUCCUCAAGAGUUACUGAUCUAUGAAAUGGCAGAGAAUGGAAAAAAUUGUGACCAGAGACGUGUAGCAAUGAACAAGGAACAUCAUAAUGGAAAUUUCACAGAUUAUGGCAUCGUCAAAGCAUUGUGGUGUCUUUUUUACUGCUGCUUGCUGUGCUUAUAGCUACGUAUUAUGUUGAAGGAGUGCAUCAACAGUAUGUGCAACGUAUAGAGAAACAGUUUCUUUUGUAUGCCUACUGGAUAGGCUUAGGAAUUUUGUCUUCUGUUGGGCUUGGAACAGGGCUGCACACCUUUCUGCUUUAUCUGGGUCCACAUAUAGCCUCAGUUACAUUAGCUGCUUAUGAAUGCAAUUCAGUUAAUUUUCCCGAACCACCCUAUCCUGAUCAGAUUAUUUGUCCAGAUGAAGAGGGCACUGAAGGAACCAUUUCUUUGUGGAGUAUCAUCUCA
rnacentral:lncRNA from 1 species